rnacentral:tRNA from 1 species
GAGGGUGUAGCUCAAGUGGUAGAGUGCAUGCUUAGCAGGCACGAGGUCCUGGGUUCAAGUCCCAGGACUUCCU